rnacentral:rRNA from 1 species
AGCGAACGCUGGCGGCAGGCUUAACACAUGCCAGUCGAGCGGGCAUCCUUGUGGUGUCAGCGGCAGACGGGUGAGUAACGCGUGGGAACGUGCCCUUCGGUUCGGAAUAACUCAGGGAAACUUGAGCUAAUACCGGAUACGCCCUUUUGGGGAAAGGUUUACUGCCGAAGGAUCGGCCCGCGUCUGAUUAGCUAGUUGGUGAGGUUAUGGCUCACCAAGGCGACGAUCAGUAGCUGGUCUGAGAGGAUGAUCAGCCACACUGGGACUGAGACACGGCCCAGACUCCUACGGGAGGCAGCAGUGGGGAAUAUUGGACAAUGGGGGGAACCCUGAUCCAGCCAUGCCGCGUGAGUGAUGACGGCCUUAGGGUUGUAAAGCUCUUUUCUCCGGGACGAUAAUGACGGUACCGGAGGAAUAAGCCCCGGCUAACUUCGUG